rnacentral:rRNA from 1 species
AUUGAACGCUGGCGGCAGGCCUAACACAUGCAAGUCGAACGAGUGGCGGACGGGUGAGUAAUGUCUGGGAAACUGCCUGAUGGAGGGGGCUAACUACUGGAAACGGUAGCUAAUACCGCAUACCAUCGGAUGUGCCCAGAUGGGAUUAGCUAGUAGGGGGGUGAAAGGCUCACCUAGGCGACGAUCCCUAGCUGGUCUGAGAGGAUGACCAGCCACAAGGGAACGGAGACAAGGUCCAGACUCCUACGGGAGGCAGCAGUGGGGAAUAUUGCACAAUGGGCGAAAGCCUGAGGCAGCCAUGCCGCGUGUAGGAAGAAGGCCUUCGGGUUGUAAAGUACUUUCAGCGGGGAGGCGUUACCCGCAGAAGAAGCACCGGCUAACUCCGUGCCAGCAGCCGCGGUAAUUC